rnacentral:rRNA from 1 species
ACCGGCAACUAGCUCUCUGCAACUCUCACAUGGUCACCCACUGUAGCUAAAGGGGGGCUGAGCCUGGUCAGUACUUCGAUGGGAGAACACAUGGGAAAGCUAGGUUGUUGCCAUUA